UACGUAGGGGGCAAGCGUUGUCCGGAAUCAUUGGGCGUAAAGAGCUCGUAGGCGGUGUGUCACGUCGUUCGUGAAAACCUGCAGCUUAACUGUGGGCGUGCGGUCGAUACGGGCAUCACUGGAGUUCGGCAGGGGAGACUGGAAUUCCUGGUGUAGCGGUGAAAUGCGCAGAUAUCAGGAGGAACGCCGGUGGCGAAGGCGGGUCUCUGGGCCGAUACUGACGCUGAGGAGCGAAAGCGUGGGGAGCAAACAGG
rnacentral:rRNA from 1 species